GAGGAAGUAAAAGUCGUAACAAGGUUUCCGUAGGUGAACCUGCGGAAGGAUCAUUAUCGUAGGGCUUCGGCCCUGUCGAGAUAGAACCCUUGCCUUUUUGAGUACCUUUCGUUUCCUCGGCAGGCUCGCCUGCCAAUGGGGACCACAAAAAACACUUUGCAGUACCUGUAAUAGUCUGAACAAACAAACAAAAAUUAAAACUUUCAACAACGGAUCUCUUGGUUCUGGCAUCGAUGAAGAACGCAGCGAAAUGCGAUAAGUAGUGUGAAUUGCAGAAUUCAGUGAAUCAUCGAAUCUUUGAACGCACAUUGCGCCCUUUGGUAUUCCUUAGGGCAUGCCUGUUCGAGCGUCAUUUAAACCUUCAAGCUAAGCUUGGUGUUGGGUGACUGUCCGCUUCACUGCGGACUCGCCUCAAAAUUAUUGGCGGCCGGUACAUUGGCUUCGAGCGCAGCAGAAACGCGAACUCGGGCCCGUCGUAUUGGCUCCCAGAAGCUAUCUUCACAAUUUGACCUCGGAUCAGGUAGGGAUACCCGCUGAACUUAAGC
rnacentral:rRNA from 1 species